CCUUUACACUGCACGACAGUGCGAUAAGGGGACUCCGAGUGCGAGGGCAUAUAGUCCUCGCUUUUCUGUACCGUAAGGAGGUACAGGAACAAGUGCUGGGCAAGACCGGUGCCAGCCGCCGCGGUAAUACCGGCAGCACGAGUGAUGGCCGAUAUUAUUGGGCCUAAAGCGUCCGUAGCCGGCCAGACAAGUCCGUUGGGAAAUCCACGCGCUCAACGCGUGGGCGUCCAGCGGAAACUGUUUGGCUUGGGGCCGGAAGACCCGAGGGGUACGUCCGGGGUAGGAGUGAAAUCCCGUAAUCCUGGACGGACCACCGGUGGCGAAAGCGCCUCAGGAAGACGGAUCCGACGGUGAGGGACGAAAGCUAGGGUCUCGAACCGGAUUAGAUACCCGGG
rnacentral:rRNA from 1 species